rnacentral:misc_RNA from 1 species
UGGUUCUCGCAUCGAUGAAGAACGCAGCGAAUUGCGAUAUGUAAUGUGAAUUGCAGAAUUCAGUGAAUCAUCGAAUCUUUGAACGCACCUUGCACCCUCUGGUAUUCUGGAGGGUAUGCCUGUUUGAGUGUCAUUAAUCUCUCAACGCAAGAAAUUUUGUUUCUUGUGCUUGGAUAGUGAAGGUUCUGCUGGCACAAAUAACUGUCAGCUCCUUUUAAAUGCAUUAGCGGAGCAGUGUAGGACUGGCCUCAGUUUGAUAAGAAACAUUAUCUAUGCUGUCGCUAGAUUUCCUCUUUGUGUUCAGCUUCAAACUGUCUUCGGACUGUCUCUCUUGAGGCAAAACAAUUCAUUGAUCGACCUCAAAUCAGGUAGGACUACCCGCUGA